CGCGUAGGCGGACUUUCAAAUCGGAUGUGAAAUCUCCGGGCUUAACUCGGAGCUUGCAUCCGAUACUGUUGGUCUUGAGUAUAUCAGAGGAAAGCGGAAUUCCAGGUGUAGCGGUGAAAUGCGUAGAUAUCUGGAAGAACACCAGUAGCGAAGGCGGCUUUCUGGGGUAAUACUGACGCUGAGGCGCGAAGGCUAGGGGAGCAAACA
rnacentral:rRNA from 1 species